rnacentral:rRNA from 1 species
GACGAACGCUGGCGGCGUGCUUAACACAUGCAAGUCGAACGGAAAGGCCCUGCUUUUGUUGGGUGCUCGAGUGGCUAACGGUUGAGUAACACGUGAGUAACCUGCCCUUGACUUUGGGAUAACUUCAGGAAACUGGGGCUAAUACCGGAUAGGAGCUCCUGCUGCAUGGUGUGGGUUGGAAAGUUUCGGCGGUUGGGGAUGGACUCGCGGCUUAUGAGCUUGUUGGUGGGGUAGUUGCUUACCAAGGCUUUGACGGGUAGCCGGCCUGAGAGGGUGACCGGCCACAUUGGGACUGAGAUACGGCCCAGACUCCUACGGGAGGAAGCAGUGGGGAAUAGUGCACAAUGGGCGGAAGCCGGAUGCAGCAACGCCGCGUGCGGGAUGACGGCCGUCGGGUUGUAAACCGCUUUCGCCUGUGACGAAGCGUGAGUGACGGUAAUGGGUAAAGAAGCACCGGCUAACUACGUG